UUAGUCUUACAAGCAGUUGUGUACAACUUCAAACAUUUGGUCUAACUUCAAACAUUUGGCCUAACUUGUGCCUAAACACCAGCGUUAUAGACAUUCCGGUUUAAGACCUCUUCAGUAACAAUAAUGAUCUUUCUUGUAAAUCUAGUUAUAUACUUUUUAAAAAUGUCUUUUUGUCUAAGUGUUGGCUUCGUCUAUCUUGUUGUUUUACCACGCUCUACGUGCAAGGGGCACAGCUCUUCUGUUAGAGUAGAACAUUAGAGUACUAAUCCCAGCAUGCCUUUCUCUCGUGAUCCCACUUUUGUCAGUACAAACAAAGAUCAAAGUUGAUCUCUUAUCAUGCUAAUAUCAUAUUUCUCUCAGUACCAAAUCCUUGACAUUGUUGUACCGCCCCGGAAAAGAGCAGUGCAUAUGUGUUUUAGUGAAGGUGGGUUGGGGGUAAGGAGGAGGUGGACAUCAGAAUUUUCAAAAGAAAUGGAAUGGUAUAGGCUUAGCUGGCAAAGGGGUGCAAAUGUCAGAAAUCGCCCCCCCCCCCCUUUUUUUUUCUCCCCUCCUGCCUCAAAAACCUCAUUUUGCCACAACACUCCCUCUGCCCUCCUCAAAACCUUGUGUGUUAAAACAAAAAUGAAUCUGAACCACUGUUGGGGAGGGGGGGCGUUUGUAAAAGGAUUUGAGGGGGG